UACGGGGGGGGCAAGCGUUGUUCGGAAUUACUGGGCGUAAAGGGCUCGUAGGCGGCCAACUAAGUCAGACGUGAAAUCCCCAGGCUCAACCUGGGAACUGCGUCUGAUACUGGAUGGCUUGAAUCCGGGAGAGGGAUGCAGAAUUCCAGGUGUAGCGGUGAAAUGCGUAGAUAUCAGGAGGAACACCGGUGGCGAAGGCGGAUCUCUGGGCCUUACCUGACGCUCAGGCACGAAAGCUAGGGGAGCGAACAGG
rnacentral:rRNA from 1 species